GAGAGUAAACAGCAGACAAGGAGAUGCAGUUUGGGGGUGCAGGGAGGCGCGGGGAACUAGAGGUGUAGACGAGUGACAGAAAGGUGUGGGGAGCACUCGGAGAAUAAAAGAAAAUCUUGGGGGUUGGGGGUCCUGACGAGUUGGUUUGUGAACUCCAACGGGGAGAGAACAGCCCUGCAGCCCUUCCACAUGAAAAGUCUCCCAUCAGCUGGGAGGGACAGCGGGAGAAGGCGAAGAGUAUGAAAUCCGGGGCCCCCAAGGGGCUGAAGCCUCGGAGCUCGAGGUGUCUGGCUAGGGCAGCAUCCGGUUCUCGGCGGCAACCUGGGGACUCCUUACCUGUAUGUACACGGGUGCAGCGACCCGGGGUGGCGGCUAGGGCGCAGCGACAGACGGCGAGUCUGGAAGAGGCGCGGGGCUAGUGGGGCAAGCGGGGCGCCCGGGGAGGCGGCGGCCGCCAGAGCCGGAGGCAGCGCGGGGAGGCUCGCUGGAGGAGGUAACCUGCGACCGGCUCGGAGGCAGUGGCUGGCCAGGCGGCGGAGCGGUGCGCUUUUAAAGGGGCGCUCACAUUCCUGGGGAUUCUUCUGGCCAAUGGGAGGCGGCAGGACAGGAAGCGGAGGGGCGGGGGCUAGCCAGUCUGAGCCCCUCUCUCCGCCCCCCCAACCCCCCGCCGCCUGGCGCAUUUUCCAGUUACAGCGUGGAGGGGGGAGCCGGGGGUCGGGGCCGGGGAGCGGUGGAACUUCUCAGAAAAAUAGGUGCCCGUCCACGGAGCCUUGGCGCACUCCCGCUCCGCUCUUUGGCUCUGGGAGUCCAGUCUCCUGAAACCGAGGUGUGGGUUACAUUUCUGUGGGUGCACCCAUUGCCAUGAGUGCGGCUGCUUAAUGCUUCUGUCAUUGGAAGUCUGGUCUCCAAACCACUGCCUCAAGCCAGCAUGACUCCAGCUGCCUGGAAUUCCAUUCAUCUCUUAGAGCUGGAUGUCAGCGGCCACACUUCCCCUGCUGUGAUCCUGCGCUAUCAGGCUGGCUGGGACCCACGACGCAGGUAGUAGCCUCACCAAAUAAGGAGCGGAGCCACAGGCUGGGGAAAGCCCUUUGGUUCACCUUCCUUCUUAGUCCCCUCACCUGGCAGCACUCCUAACUGCUGGAAACGUCACAGGGCACUGUCACUUUUCUUGUGUGGGAGUGUUGUGUGACAAGGUGCACGUGUGUACAGAUUGCGGCAUCAGUGUUUUCUAGUUACUCAGUAUACAUCAAGUACUUUUGGAAGAUGACAAGUAUGUUCCUAAGACACAUGUUUGUUGGUUGCUCAAAUAAUAGCUAAACCUGACAGUCAGAUAGAUUUCACAUACUGAGACACAGAAAUGAAAGUUUCUGUCGGGUGAUUAGUCAAAUCAGAUUCCUAUUGUGGAAGUCAUAGGUGAUGAGUCAUGCAAAUAGAUCUGAAGACUCCAGAGUUGGCAGCCAUAUAUGUCCCUUUCCUUCCCUAGCUAGCGUCCUGUUUGCUCCUUGAAAGGCAUUUUUUCUUUAUACUUCCUAUUAAUUCUUAAUAAUAUCAGCUACUUAGGAACAGUUUUCAGAGAGAUGGCCAGCUGCCGGCCCCCCCCACCCCCCUUUCCACCUACUUGCUAUUUUUAUACAGAUCAGCUGGGGGCUUAAGGUCUACAAGAAACCUGCAGAAGCUGGGUACCUCUUUUCUCUUAUAAAACAAUCUUCUCCCCUGGGCUAGCCCACAAGGCUAGAAUAGAAGCCCCCUGGAAUGCCCCCUCAGGCUAGCUGCUUCGUGACUAAGGA
ensembl:lncRNA